GACGAACGCUGGCGGCGUGCCUAACACAUGCAAGUCGAACGGAGAUACGAUUUCGGUUGUAUCUUAGUGGCGAACGGGUGAGUAACGCGUGAACAACCUGACUCUUAGAGGGGGAUAACACUCGGAAACGGGUGCUAAUACCGCAUAAGACCACGACCCGGCAUCGGGAUGAGGUCAAAGGAGCAAUCCGCUGAGAGAGGGGUUCGCGUCCCAUUAGAUAGAUGGCGGGGUAACGGCCCACCAUGUCAACGAUGGGUAGCCGAGCUGAGAGGCUGAUCGGCCACACUGGAACUGAGACACGGUCCAGACUCCUACGGGAGGCAGCAGUGGGGAAUAUUGGGCAAUGGGCGCAAGCCUGACCCAGCAACGCCGCGUGAGGGAAGAAGGCUUUCGGGUUGUAAACCUUUGUCCUUGGUGACGAAACAAAUGACGGUAGCCAAGGAGGAAGCCCCGGCUAACUACGUGCCAGCAGCCGCCGUAA
rnacentral:rRNA from 1 species